rnacentral:lncRNA from 1 species
UUCUUCACAUUCGCUAACAUCUAUUCCUCCUCCACCACCACCACCACCACCACCUCCUCCUCCUCCUCUACAUUCUUUACCGUCUGCAGAAUGCGUGAUGUCAUCUCAAACUCAUCCAAAUUUUUCAUCUAUCCCACCUUUCCCAUCUGAUUCAUUUGUUCCGCCUCCACCAAGAACUGAAAUUCCAUCUACUUUAGAUUCGGAAGAUUUAAUUUCUGCAACUAUUAAAGAUUCAAAUUUUCAAUCACUUCCUCUUCAUUUACAACGAAAUUUUUCUUUCACUUUUCCAAAACCAAAGCAAAAGAUGAAGACUCUGAACUGGUCAAAAAUUCCAUCAGCCAAUGUCAGUGGUAUGUAGAAAUUUAAAUCUUAUAUAGAAAAUCUAAAUCUAAUUUAAAUCUAUAAUAUAGUAUAGAAUUAGUACAUAGAGUAUAUUCGCGCUUCCCUCAAGUUAUAAAUUUACGAGAUUGUUAUAAUGUUUACUAUAAUUUGAAAGAAGAAUUGCAUAACAUCAUUGUCGAAACCAGAUAGUUUGAGGUCCAUGAGAAACACAAAAUUCGCCAUCAAAUCUUAUGAUUUGAAAAUAAUUAAGAUUAGUACCAUCUCUCUAAAUUUUAUCAGUUUAUUUUAUACGUAUGUACUGUGUAACAUUAAAUGAAAUUCAUUAAACAAAAAAAAUGCCCAUGACUUCCAUCAGUCGUAUAAGAUUAAUGAUUCCUCAAAAGUUUCGAAAUUAUAUAUUUCUUCUUUGUUGGUAGUUUUACGCCCCUUUCCAACUGGCGCACAGUGAGGCAAAACACAGAAAAAGCUGGCCAAAAUUACAGAAAUGUUUCUUUUCGCAUAAAAAUAUAAAAAUACUA